CCUACGGGUGGCAGCAGUGGGGAAUAUUGGGCAAUGGGCGCAAGCCUGACCCAGCAACGCCGCGUGAAGGAAGAAGGCUUUCGGGUUGUAAACUUCUUUUGACAGGGAAGAGUAGAAGACGGUACCUGUCGAAUAAGCCAAGGCUAACUACGUUCCAGCAGCCGCGGGUAUUCGUAGGGUGCAAGCGUUAUCCGGAUUUACUGGGUGUAAAGGGAGGGGAGGCGGCACGGCAAGCCGGAUGUGAAAGCCCGGGGCCCAACCGCGGGACUGCAUUUGGAACCAGCGGUCUGGAGUGCCGGAGAGGUAAGCGGAAUUCCGGGUGUAGCGGUGAAAUGCGUAGAUAUUAGGAGGAACACCAGUGGCGAAGGCGGCCUACUGGACGGUAACUGACGCUGAGGCUCGAAAGCGUGGGGAGCAAACAGGAUUAGAUACCCGUGUAGUC
rnacentral:rRNA from 1 species